UUUUCUAAACUAUAAAAAGACUUUAUGAACAAGAGGAUUAGUUAUCAUUGCUGCGGAAAUAUUCAAGAAAUUAAUAGUUGUUUAAGAUUUGAAACUUGAAAGAAGUCCUUAACAAAUCUGUCAUUUUGAAUACUUAAACGGUAGAAACAGAGUUAAUGAUAUAAUUUUACUCGCAGUCAUAUUGAGUUUUUCAUAAUUAAACCAUUUAACUCAAAAAGUUAAAUCAUAAUAAAUUAAGUAAAUAUACAUGAUGGUGAAGUCAAUUAGGUAAUUAAUAUGAACUACUAUUGAAAUUUCAUUAUGUAAGAACACAAUCAAACUAAAGUUAACUAAACUAAAUAUAAAAUUAAAAAAACUAACAUCGCUGAGAAAAUUAAUAGUGACUUUAGUGUUAGGAUUUUAGUAUAUUGUAUAUUGCUAGUAUGUGUAAUUCAAAUAAUAAUAAUAAUAAACAAAUUGGUUUCUCGAUUUGGUUUAACUCGGUUCGGUUCAGAUUGGUUUUGGUUCGGUUUGUUCGGAUUGGGAAAAUCUUCAACCAAACUAUUUGAUAAUAUAUUUUGGUUUGGUUUGGAUCAGUUUCGGUUCGGUUUGAUUCGGUUCGUUUUUUUUUUUGCCCACUCCUAAAUUUCAUUCUAAAAUGGACCACAAAAUAUUUCCACAUAUCAAUGUAUCAGAAAGUAAUAUUCCAUCUUCUCUUCUUGGUCUAUUCAGUUCAGCAAUAAUAUUAACUGAAUAAAAAAUGGUUAACCUGUGAAAUCAUAUUCACAACUUCCGAUCUAUUGCCAAAAAGAGCUCCUUAAAGAUGAUAGUGUCAAGCCUAAUCGAUUCGCCGAAGACGGAAGACGGGAAGAGUCACCGUAAAGUAGGGAUUUACUGGAGAGAUUUUACGGGAACGAGAGAAGAGCUAGUCGACAUUAGAGUCUCCGUAUAACAACCCUUCAAAGAGAUUAAGACGAUCCCCAACACACUUGAGAAAAAAAUUAAGAUUCCCAUGCUUUUUUGUUUGGGAAAUUCAGCAAACUUGGCAACAAACUGGCUUUCUCCUUUACGUCUGACAAUUGCAAUAUGUCGUGUUAACUAAAGGUUAGAAAGAAGCACGAGGCUUGGUUUUUGUUUUCUCUGAAUCCAGUAAUGUAUUCGUUGAGAGAAUCUGUGAUUAUUAUAGGAAGCUCGUUAAGUUCGGAGCUAGUGACAUCAACAACAAGUUAUUUGGAUAAACCAUAGUAAUUUUGGAUAAAUAUUUUGUUAACCGGUUAUCUUUUUGUUGGAAAGUUAGUUAUCUAUUUUACUUAAAUUGUUAGAAUACAGUUGUUGCUUGUAAACUCAUGUUAACUGCGACCAAUAGAUUUGGAGGAACAAACAAAAUGAAUCGUUAUUGGUGUGGGCAGACAAAUUAAAUAAGAUGAUGAGAAGGUCGGAUGAAACUCAUUACUGAAGAACACAAAUGUAGAAAUUCAAUUGUUACCGGUGGAGCAGCCAAAGAUGAUGUUGACUGGAUGUGUGAAGAGGCAAGAGGAGAGCAAUGCAACGUAAAACCUGCAAACCUUCAAGCACCAAAGAAUUUUUUGUACCUAGUGUUGAAAAUGAAAACCGUAUCAGCUACAUGUCCAUUAUUAAUUGUAUACAUUCAAUUGAAAGUUUCAUUUCUAGUUUUCCAAUACCAAAUAAAAUGGGAUAUCAGUUCUAAACUUGAAUGAAUGAAAGACGAGGUUGCUAGUAUCUUCACAGAGAUACUCGCUAAAUUAUGUAUUUACCAUUAUUAAUAAUGUGAGAUUUUAUCCCACUAUCCACAGUCUACCAAUUUAAUAUAUUAUUCCAUCAAUCAAACAUUUAGCUGAUAAUCACGUGUAAAACUAUCCAAAAAGUUAAAUAAAUUAUACGUGUAAUUUCAGAUUUCACUAUAUUCACAAAAGCAGUUACUAAUAGCUAUCCAAAUUGUUAAUAAUCGUCAAUGAUGCACUUAGCUGCAAGUCAUAUUACAUAACAUGAUAUAUAUAACAAUUUUUUUGCUAAUGAAAAACAAUUUUAAUAUAAAAAGUAAAGAUGAGUUAAAAAGCACUCUUAAUUGUCUAUGUAAUCCAUGAUAAAUUUUCCAUGACACCCUAACUUUUACUAUGUGCAUUAAAAAUUGUUUAGUGUUCUAUGUGGACGCCAUUAGGCGAACACACUUGUAUGAGUUGUUCAUAUGGACGAAAUUUGGUGGACAGAUCCUAUAUGAGUUAUCCAGUAAUCUAACAAUUAUAAGGAAACAAAGAUUGAAAACUUAAAAGUGGGAAGAAAAUUUAGAAUGAGCAAACAAAAGUGUUUUACGGAGGAUAAAAGGAUGAGGCUUUGGGGAUCACCGCCAUAUCAUCUGGAACAGAAAAAGAAUCUGAUC